rnacentral:tRNA from 1 species
GGCCCUUUGCACAGUCUGUGAAUGUAGUCGCCUCAUAAGCGAAGUAAGGCGGGUUAGAUUCCCGCAAGGGCCA